UUGGGUUUGUUAAAUCCAAAUCUGACUCAUCUUUGUUUAUCCUUCACAUUGUAGAGGUUACUGUCUACAUUCUCAUAUAUGUUGAUGACAUAAUUAUUGCGAGUAGCAUUGAAAGAACUGUCAAGUCCAUCAUUGAUACUCUUUCUCAACGAUUCUCUCUAAAAGAUCUUGGGUUAUUGCAUUAUUUUUUGGGUGUUGAAGUAAUAUCAACGCCAAUUGCCAUAUAUUUAUCUUAACACAAAUAUGUCAUGGAUCUUCCGGAUGAAUUGCACAUGGCUGAAUGCAAGGGUGUCCCGGCACCGAUGACAUCAACCUGCUCCUUCGUUGAUUCUGAAGCCGAUUCUGUUGUUGACAUUUCACUUUACAGAAGAUUCAUUGGUAAGCUUCACUGCCUAUCCCUCACUAGGCCUGACAUCAGGUUUGUUGUUAGCAAGUUGUCUCAGUUUAUGCCUUAUCCAAAAGUGUCUCACUGGAAAGCUAUCAAAUGGUUGUUGCGCUACCUGAAACACACCAGCACAAUGGGAGUUAAGCUAUGUCGACAACUAACAGAUCGUUUACUUGCUUAUUCUGACUCUGAUUGGGUUGGAAAUCCACAGGACAGAACAUCAACAACGGGUUAUGUUGUCUACCAUGGAACUCACCGAUCUAUUGGUCUUCCAAAAAGCAAAGGUCUGUUUUACGCUCAUCCACGAAAGCUGAGUAUCGAGUUGUUGCUAUUGUUGUUUAUGAAGUUAAUUGGCUCACGGAUUUGCUCCAUGAGCUUCAUAGUCCUCUGUGACAACGUUAGUACAACCUACAUUUGUGCUAAUCCAGUUCUGCGCAAUUUUCACAAGUUGGGGCUUGUUCUAGUCACCCCCAACUUGCGGGGGCAUAUUAAAGGAUAACAAUUGAUAUCCUUCCGUUUAGGAGUUUGUUAUUAGCUUCCUAUUUUCCAGGUUUAGGAUUUUGUUAUUUUCCUGUAGUGUAUCCUACUGCACAGUAUCUUAUCAUAUCAUUUGUUCCCCCUUUAACGUAUUUCCAUUUGUAUCUGCUCUACAUAAAGAGACUGUUGUUCAUGAAUAAAAUUAUCUUUUCGUUGGUGCAUUUUAAAACUUCAUACUUCUAAGAGGCCAACACAGUAGAAGUUCCCAAAAUUCUCCUUUUAGUUUUGGAAAAACUUUUCCGUCCUACAAUUAAGACUAUUACACCACUUAACUUAGAAUGAAAUAAGCACUCAAUCAAAUGAGUUCAAAUCAUGUCGGAAAGCCAAGAGAUUAUGCUCCUCAAUAACUCAAUAUUCUUGACACUAUCAUCUUUUUUCUUGAGGAUAUAGAGGAUUUACCAUAAGUGGUAGGAGCCCGAAAUUCGUACAAGGGGGAUUCAUAAAAAUGAGUAUUGAAGUGUCACACCUAAGAUUUGAACUUGUGAGCCAAGGCAAUUUUUGAAACCCCUUUACUCCAGUGUCAAGAAGAUUUACAGUUCAUAUAUAACCAAUUUUUUUUGUUUUUUUAACUAUUUACUCGUUGCUAUUUUCGAGGAUGGGGAUUCACCUUGGCUCCCUUUAGCUCCGCCACUAUACAUAGCCAACCCCAGCUAGUUUGGGACCGAAGCCUAGUUGAUUGACUGACUGAUAACCUAUUAUCUUGACUUCCCCACUUUAAACAACUUGUCCAUCACAUAAGCUAACAUGCCAUUUCAAUUGCUAAUUUAUGGGAGAGCAUUUUUGGAAAUUGGAAGAAAAAUUCCAAACAUUGCCAAGAAUAUACUAAACUAAUAUACUUUGUCCAAAAAUUUCGAUAAAUCAAGCAACCCCAUAUGAUGCUAUAAAAACAGUAUUAGAAACAAAACCUGAAAGAACAUGAAGAGCAAAAAUCAAUGCUGACGGUGUUACCAAUACCAACUGCACCAAUACCACCAGUUUUCUGCAAAGUCAAACACAAAAAAAAAA
rnacentral:lncRNA from 1 species